CCCGACGACAAGAGUGCUGUGGUCCUACCUGACCCCAUACCGAACUCAGAAGUAAAACGCAGUAACGUCGAUGGUAGUGU
rnacentral:rRNA from 1 species